rnacentral:rRNA from 1 species
UAAUCUGAUUUUCAAGGCUCUGAGAAGGAUAGCUUGGCUUGGGUCGUGAUGAAGGACGUGGCAAGCUGCGAUAAGCCUGGGUGAGCCGCAUGCGGGCUUUGAACCCAGGAUCUCCGAAUGCGACAACGUGUGCGCAAGCACGUGCCUCUUUAAUAAAGGCACCAAUACGCCGGGAAUUGAAACAUCUUAGUACCGGCAGGAAAAGAAAACAAUUGUGAUUCCCCCAUUAGCAGCGAGCGAAAAGGGAAGAGGGCAAACUGAAUCUCCGUGUGAAAACAUGGCAGAGAUGUGGUGGAUGCUAAGGCUAAGUCAUUGAAUCGAAGUCCGCUGGAAUGCGGCACACCAGAGGGUGAUAGUCCCGUAGAUAAAGAUGAUAUGCUGUGCUCCGAAAGAGUAGGGCUCCCUAGAUAGGAAGUCCGAAUACAGCGGGAUUAACCGCUAACCCUAAAUAUAGAUCCAAGUCCGAUAGCGAACGUAGUACCGCGAGGGAAAGCUGAAAAGCACUCUUAAUCGAGGGUGAAAAGACUUGAAAUCUCAGAGCUACAGCUGGUUACGGCAUUAAGGUGUCGUAACGUACGUGUUGAAAAAUGAGCCAAGGAGUUUACUUACGCGGCAAGGUUAAGGAAACGAAGCCAUAGCGAAAGCGAGUCUGAAAAGGCGUUAAGUCGCGUGGGUAAGACACGAUGCCAGAUGAUCUAUUCGUGUGCAGGACGAAGUUCUUCGAAAGGAGAAUGGAGGUCCGAACUAGUGAUGUGCACAUGCUCUUGGAUGACAUGCGAAUAGGGGUGAAAAGCCUAUCGAAUCUGGCGGUGGCUUGUUCCUGUCGAAUUAUGCCUCAGUAUAGCUUCGGUAUGUUCGUCGACGUGGUAAAGUACGGAUAGAACCUGCAGACCCUUCUGGGUACGGGGUUCUUUUCCAACUCUGAACGUGUCGACUGCAGAUACCGGAAGUGGGGGGCGGUGCGUAAGGUACCGUUCCGAGACCCGAACAAGGGAGACUGGAGUUAAGGUCCCAAAAUUGAUGCUCAGUGUAGCAAAGGUUGUCUUGAACCUGAGACACUACGGAUGUAGGCUUAGAAGCAGCCAUCAUUUAAAGAAAGCGUAACAGCUCACGUAUUGAGGUUCGAGGCGCCGAAGAUGGACGGGGCUAAGCAUCAUACCGAUACUUCAGAGGUACUCGUAAGAGUAUUCUGGUAGACAGGCGUACAUACUGCGUAGAAGUUCUUCCGAGAGGAAAGAUGGAGCGGUAUGUAAUGAGAAUCUUGGUGGAAGUAAGAUCAGAUUCUCCUGAGAACGGAGAGCGUCGAAAGAGCAAGGUUUCCUUGGCACUAUCGUUUAACCAAGGGUUAGUCAGCGCCUAAGUGUACUCUUAACUGCGGUACGCGAUGGACAUCCGGUUAAUAUUCCGGAACUCGACAAUAUUCGUUUAGUGCCCGAGUGCGCUUUGGGAUAUGCGGAAGCCCGAGAGGGCUGUCGUGCGAGAAAGAUGUGGAGCGUAAUGCAUAGAUGCAUCUGAAUUGCACGAGGAAAGCUGCAGAGUCCUGGAGCCCAUGAAACGCUUGUGCAUAGAAUAUUGCGAGCUGUACCAAGAACCGACACAGGUGCUCUAGUUGAGUAGACUAAGACGUGAAAGGUAUAAACUGGUUAAGGGAAUUCGGCAUAUUUGGCCCCGUAGCUUCGGUAGAAGGGGUGUCUAUAGCUGUCUUUGAUAUUAGAAGGCAGCGGUAGAUUGCAAUAACAAGGACCGCCCGACUGUUUAUCAAAAACGUAGCCGAUUGCAAAUCCGAAAGGACUGGUAUAAUCGGUGAGACCUGCCCAGUGGUGGUGUUUCAAACUCUCGUUCAAGAGGGCUAAGACCCAUCAAACGGCGGGCCUAACUAUGAGGCUCUUAAGGUUGAAUAGUCAACUAAACUGCCUUACAUCAGAAAUGAUGCUCAAGCUUUCAUAGUGAAUUUUUGUAAAUAGAAAGGAAAAUCCGAAUAAACCAAUAGAGAAAAUCUAGCUAUUUGCUGGGACAUCUGAGUAUCUUUCAAUACUAGAAAUAGUGAAAAUUUGAAAGUGCAGAUUAUCAGCAGGAAAGGCGAGAAUAUAAAUAUAAGUAAAAAGUAAGAAAAGAAUGGGAUGGAAAGAAUUAAAACUUUGGAAAAAGUUAAGUAUUCUUUUCUUUUUCAUUCAUUUAAUCCUCACUUUGAUAUUGUUUAAUUUUUAUUAUCAAGGUGAAUAUAACUUAUCUUCACUUUUUGCAAUAUCUUUAGAUUUGCCUUUAUUACUUAUUGGAAUUAAAUUCUUUCCAAACAUAAUUGAGAAUGGGACUUUUUAUAAGUUAUAUUUUCCAAUUGUUGGUAGCAUUAGUUAUGCUAUUAUGGGUGCGGUAAUAGGUUUAAUUAUUAAUAAAAUAAAGAAAAAAUAAAUUCUCGAAUCCUCAGAGAGUAUACGCUAGACACAAUUUAAUUGUGAAGAUGUACUCCGACCCUUAUAGCGAUAUAAGGAAGUUUGUAGAAAUACAGACUCAUCGUUAAUAAUUUAUUAACGACAGUAACACUCGUGAGCGUAAUGCCUUGUCAUCUGAAUGGUGACGUGCAUGAAUGGUUUAACGAGGUGGUCACUGUCCCUAACCAGAACCUUCUGAACUCACUGACCGGUGAAAAUGCCGGUGACGCCUCGUGGGAAGCGAAGACCUUGUAAACCUUUACUGCAACUUGUUGUUGUAGCUUUAAGAGACUUGCAUAGCGUAGGUAGGAGCUUCGGCAUCAAUGUAACACUACCCAAGUUUUUUAGAGCUGCUCACCCGGGAGGGGACACCAGCAGGCGGGCAGUUUGGCUGGGGCGGCACCCUGCUGAAAAGAUAUCAGUAGGGCCUAAUGGUAAGCUCAUCCAGGUUGGAAAUCUGGAGAUGAGUGCGAAGGCAAAAGCUUACCUGACUGUAUUUCGCACAGCAAGAAAUGCAGAGACGAAAGUCGGGCUUAGCGACCCCACGUAGCUUUUUAAUAGGGCUCGUGUGUGGCAGAAAAGGUACUUCAAGGAUAACAGGCUUGUCGCGCCCGAUAGUUCAUAUUGACGGCGCGGUUUGGUACAUCGCUGUCGGCUCUUCCUAUCCUGGCCGUGCAUAAGCGACCAAGGGUGUCGGAGUUCACGCAUUAAAAGGGAUCGUUAGCUGGGUUAAGAACGUCAAUAAAAACCCAUCUAAUUAUGACCAAACCACAAUGAUUAGCAAGCAGAAAAAUAAAUAAUCGAAAACGCGGCGUUGCGUGCGAGUAAUUGCACGAAAAAUAAAAUCAGCUCAUAUCGGUGAAACCUUACUAUGAUUAACUGUCAAUAGUAUGGCAAUAUCGAGGGAAGUCGUAAUUGACCCCGUAGAGACUUAGCACGCAAGUGCUGGACUUAUUCUUUAAAGAAUAGGUAACACGCUGAUCACUUAAACUCGCAAGAGUUCUAAGUUGAAGGUAUAGUCCACUCCAAAACGAAAUCAUAAGUUUUGGCAAGAAACCAUAGGAAUCUUAAGGGAAGUUGACCUUCAAGACCUCAAGAAUUAAGAAUUCUUGAUGGCAUUCAAGAACGUAAAGUUCUUGAUGAACCGUAGGUGUCUUAAGUACGCGAGACAGUUUGUAUGAUAUCUACGAGGCGCGUCGUUGUCUGAGUGGAACGAGUAUCUAGUACGAGAGGAACGGUACUCGGAUGCCUCUGGUGUACGGGUUGUUAUGAAGCAGGCCCGGCAGCUACGCAUUAGGGGAUAAGUACUGAAAGCAUCUAAGUACGAAGCUCUCCGCAAGACGAGACAACAAAGGCCGUCAAAGAAGAUGACGUUGAUAGAGUUGGUGUGUACGCUCCAAGAACACGAGGAGUUAAGCAUGCAACUACUAAUAGCCUCACUAAAUCAAUUAU